rnacentral:rRNA from 1 species
CAUGCAAGUCGAACGAGCGAGAGAGAGCUUGCUUUCUCGAGCGAGUGGCGAACGGGUGAGUAACGCGUGAGGAACCUGCCUCAAAGAGGGGGACAACAGUUGGAAACGACUGCUAAUACCGCAUAAGCCCACGGGUCGGCAUCGACCAGAGGGAAAAGGAGCAAUCCGCUUUGAGAUGGCCUCGCGUCCGAUUAGCUAGUUGGUGAGGUAACGGCCCACCAAGGCGACGAUCGGUAGCCGGACUGAGAGGUUGAACGGCCACAUUUGGACUGAGACACGGCCCAGACUCCUACGGGAGGCAGCAGUGGGGAAUAUUGCACAAUGGGGGAAACCCUGAUGCAGCGACGCCGCGUGGAGGAAGAAGGUCUUCGGAUUGUAAACUCCUGUUGUUGGGAAAGAUAAUGACGGUACCCAACAAGGAAGUGACGGCUAACUACGUGCCAGCAGCCGCGGUAAAACGUAGGUCACAAGCGUUGUCCGGAAUUACUGGGUGUAAAGGGAGCGCAGGCGGGAAGACAAGUUGGAAGUGAAAUCUAUGGGCUCAACCCAUAAACUGCUUUCAAAACUGUUUUUCUUGAGUAGUGCAGAGGUAGGCGGAAUUCCCGGUGUAGCGGUGGAAUGCGUAGAUAUCGGGAGGAACACCAGUGGCGAAGGCGGCCUACUGGGCACCAACUGACGCUGAGGCUCGAAAGUGUGGGUAGCAAACAGGAUUAGAUACCCUGGUAGUCCACACC